rnacentral:rRNA from 1 species
GACGAACGCUGGCGGCGUGCCUAAUACAUGCCAGUAGAACGCUGAAGAGAGGAGCUUGCUCUUCUUGGAUGAGUUGCGAACGGGUGAGUAACGCGUAGGUAACCUGCCUUGUAGCGGGGGAUAACUAUUGGAAACGAUAGCUAAUACCGCAUAACAAUGGAUGACACAUGUCAUUUAUUUGAAAGGGGCAAUUGCUCCACUACAAGAUGGACCUGCGUUGUAUUAGCUAGUAGGUGAGGUAAUGGCUCACCUAGGCGACGAUACAUAGCCGACCUGAGAGGGUGAUCGGCCACACUGGGACUGAGACACGGCCCAGACUCCUACGGGAGGCAGCAGUAGGGAAUCCUCGGCAAUGGGGGCAACCCUGACCGAGCAACGCCGCGUGAGUGAAGAAGGUUUUCGGAUCGUAAAGCUCUGUUGUAAGUCAAGAACGGGUGUGAGAGUGGAAAGUUCACACUGUGACGGUAGCUUACCAGAAAGGGACGGCUAACUACGUG